rnacentral:rRNA from 1 species
UACGAGGGAUCCUAGCGUUGUUCGGAAUCAUUGGGCGUAAAGCGGGUGUAGGUGGCUUUGUAAGUCAGGUGUGAAAGCCCAGGGCUCAACCCUGGAAGUGCAUUUGAUACUGCGAAGCUUGAGUGCUGGAGAGGUUAUUAGAAUUCCUGGUGUAGUGGUGAAAUACGUAGAUAUCAGGAGGAAUACCAGAGGCGAAGGCGGAUAACUGGCCAGACACUGACACUCAGACCCGAAAGCGUGGGGAUCAAACAGG